rnacentral:rRNA from 1 species
UAAGGAAUAUUGCGCAAUGGGCGAAAGCCUGACGCAGCGACGCCGCGUGGGGGAUGAAGGUCUUCGGAUUGUAAACCCCUUUCGGGAGGGAAGAUGGAAUGGGGUAACCCAUUCGGACGGUACCUCCAGAAGCAGCCACGGCUAACUUCGUGCCAGCAGCCGCGGUAAUACGAAGGUGGCAAGCGUUAUUCGGAUUUACUGGGCGUACAGGGAGCGUAGGCGGUUCGGUAAGCCCUUUGUGAAAUCUCCAGGCUUAACCUGGAACAGUCGGAGGGGACUGCCGGGCUAGAGGACGGGAGAGGAGCGCGGACUUCCCGGUGUAGCGGUGAAAUGCGUAGAGAUCGGGAGGAAGGCCGGUGGCGAAGGCGGCGCUCUGGGCUGGAACUGACGCUGAGGAGCGAAAGCGUGGGGAGCGAACAGGAUUAGAUACCCCCGUAGUCCCUGAGCGGGCUGGCAAGGCGCAU